CUUGCCAAUGAUGAUAUACACCAAAUACAAUUUUCUGGUACCUCUUAUGUCAGGGGUGGAACCUAUGGUUUCUCUCCAAUGAUCUAUAUGGACUUCUGAUU
rnacentral:snoRNA from 16 species